CCUACGGGAGGCAGCAGUGGGGAAUAUUGGACAAUGGGCGGAAGCCUGAUCCAGCAACGCCGCGUGAGGGAUGACGGCCUUCGGGUUGUAAACCUCUUUCAGCACAGACGAAGCGCAAGUGACGGUAUGUGCAGAAGAAGGACCGGCCAACUACGUGCCAGCAGCCGCGGUAAUACGUAGGGUCCGAGCGUUGUCCGGAAUUAUUGGGCGUAAAGGGCUCGUAGGCGGUUUGUCGCGUCGGGAGUGAAAACACCGGGCUUAACUCGGUGCUUGCUUUCGAUACGGGCAGACUAGAGGCAUUCAGGGGAGAACGGAAUUCCUGGUGUAGCGGUGAAAUGCGCAGAUAUCAGGAGGAACACCGGUGGCGAAGGCGGUUCUCUGGGAAUGUCCUGACGCUGAGGAGCGAAAGUGUGGGGAGCGAACAGGAUUAGAUACCCUGGUAGUCCACACCGUAAACGUUGGGCGCUAGGUGUGGGGUCCAUUCCACGGAUUCCGUGCCGCNGCUACGCAUAGCGCCCGCCGUCGGGAGGUACGGCCGCGAGACGUAAACGUACGAAGAAGUAGACGGCGUGAGACGUUGCCGAGGACGACGACGAGGGAGGAGG
rnacentral:rRNA from 1 species